rnacentral:rRNA from 1 species
AAGAUUCCGGNCCUGGAUAUGGAUUCUUCACGGUAACGUAACUGAGUGUGGAGACGUCGGCGUGAGCCCUGGGAGGAGUUAUCUNUUCUUCUUAACAGCUUAUCACCCUGGAAUUGGUUUAUCCGGAGAUAGGGUNUUAUGGCUNGAAGAGCCAGCAUCUAUGCUGGGUCCGGUGCGCUUACGACGGCCCUUGAAAAUCCACAGGAAGGAAUAGUUUUCAUGCCAGGUCGUCCU